UCACCGUCGGAAAGUGUGCGCUUUCCCUGAUGAGCCCAAAAGGGCGAAACGGUAC
rfam:Eggplant latent viroid complete genome, isolate 3